rnacentral:rRNA from 1 species
AGUGAACGCUGGCGGUAUGCCUAACACAUGCAAGUCGAACGGCAGCACAGUAAGAUCGUGCUCUUACGGGUGGCGAGGGGCGGACGGGUGAGAAGUACAUCGGAAUCUACUUUGUCGGGGGGGACAACGGGGGAAAACUGACGCUAAUAGCGCAUACAACCUACGGCAUGAAUCAAUAGAGCAUCGGACCUUUCGCGAUUGAUUGAGCCGAUGCCGGAUUAGCUAGUUGGCUGGGUAAAGGCACACCAAGGCGACGAUCCGUAGCUGGUCUGAGAGGAUGAUCAGCCACACUGGAACUGAGACACGGUCCAGACUCCUACGGGAGGCAGCAGUGGGGAAUCUUGCACAAUGGGCGCAAGCCUGAUCCAGCCAUACCGCGUGAGUGAAGAAGGUCUUCGGGUUGUAAAGCUCUUUUAUUGGGAAAGAACAGAAGCAGAUUUAUCUAUCGAUGUCCUGACGGUACCUAAAGAGUAAGCCCCGGCUAACUUCGUG